rnacentral:rRNA from 1 species
GCACAUAGCCUGAGAUCCGAAGAUCUCCGAAUGAGGAAACUCACAUGGGAAACCCCAUGUAUCAUUAAGUGAAUACAUAGCUUAAUGAAGGUAACCCAGGGAACUGAAACAUCUAAGUACCUGGAGGAAGAGAAAGAAAAAUCGAUUUUCUUAGUAGCGGCGAGCGAAAGGGAAAGAGCCCAAACCGGAAACUUGUUUCCGGGGUUGUGGACAUAGCAUGAAAGUGGAGGCUAUUGUAACUGAAGAGAACUGGAAAGUUCCACCGUAGAAGGUAAUAGUCCUGUAAGUGAAACGAGAAGACCACGAGUUAUGAUCCAGAGUACCACGAGACACGUGAAACCUUGUGGGAAGCAGGGAGGACCACCUCCCAAGGCUAAAUACUACCUGAUGACCGAUAGUGAAGCAGUACCGUGAGGGAAAGGUGAAAAGAACCCCGGGAGGGGAGUGAAAUAGAACCUGAAACCGUGUGCCUACAACCGCUCAGAGCCCCUUAUGAGGGUGAUGAGGUGCUUUUUGUAGAACGAGCCAACGAGUUACGGUAUGUAGCAAGGUUAAGUACUUAAGGUACGGAGCCGAAGGGAAACCGAGUCUGAAUAGGGCGACUAGUUGCAUGCCGUAGACCCGAAACCGGGUGACCUAUCCAUGGCCAGGUUGAAGCGAGGGUAAAACCUCGUGGAGGACCGAACCACGUUGCUGUUGAAAAAGCAUGGGAUGAGCUGUGGAUAGCGGAGAAAUUCCAAUCGAACCCGGAGAUAGCUGGUUCUCUCCGAAAUAGCUUUAGGGCUAGCGUCGAGUAUGAGUAGUGGAGGUAGAGCACUGAAUGGGCUAGGGGGCAUAGCGCUUACCGAACCUUAUCAAACUCCGAAUGCCACAUACUUUGAGCUCGGCAGUCAGACUACGAAUGAUAAGAUCCGUGGUCAAAAGGGAAACAGCCCAGAUCGUCAGCUAAGGUCCCAAAGUGUAAGUUAAGUGGGAAAGGAUGUGAGAUUUCUAAGACAACUAGGAUGUUGGCUUAGAAGCAGCCAUUCAUUAAAAGAGUGCGUAAUAGCUCACUAGUCGAGAGAUCUUGCGCCGAAAAUGUAACGGGGCUAAACUUACCACCGAAGCUACGGGCUUGAACUUAGUUCAAGCGGUAGGAGAGCGUCGUAACCGGGCUGAAGUCGUACCGUAAGGAGCGGUGGACUGGUUACGAGUGAGAAUGUUGGCAUCAGUAGCGAGAUGUGGGUGAGAAUCCCACAGGCCGAAAACCUAAGGUUUCCUCAGGAAGGUUCGUCCGCUGAGGGUUAGUCGGGACCUAAGCCGAGGCCGAAAGGCGUAGGUGAUGGACAACUGGUUGAUAUUCCAGUACCACUACCAUCGUUAUUAUCGAUGGCGUGACGCAGGAGGAUAGUGUGUGCUAGCUAUUGGAUGCUAGUCUAAGCGUUUAGGCAGUGAGAGUAGGCAAAUCCGCUCUCAUAAUGCUGAGGCGUGAUGGGGAAGGUUCCACGGAACCGAAGUACAUGAUUCCACGCUGCCAAGAAAAGCGUCUAGAGAGAGAAGUAGUGCCCGUACCGCAAACCGACACAGGUAGGUGAGGAGAGAAUCCUAAGGCCGGCGGAAGAAUUACAGUUAAGGAACUCGGCAAAUUGACCCCGUAAGUUCGCGAGAAGGGGUGCCUACGAGAGUAGGCCGCAGAGAAUAGGCCCAAGCAACUGUUUAGCAAAAACACAGGUCUCUGCUAAAGCGUAAGCUGAUGUAUAGGGGCUGACGCCUGCCCGGUGCUGGAAGGUUAAGGGGAACACUUAGCGCAAGCGAAGGUGUGAACUUAAGCCCCAGUAAACGGCGGCCGUAACUAUAACGGUCCUAAGGUAGCGAAAUUCCUUGUCAGGUAAGUUCUGACCCGCACGAAUGGCGUAAUGACUUGGGCACUGUCUCAACUGUAAAUCCGGCGAAGUUGUAGUGCGAGUGAAGAUGCUCGCUACCCGCGAUUGGACGGAAAGACCCCGUAGAGCUUUACUGUAGCUUAGCAUUGAGUUUUGGUAUUGUCUGUACAGGAUAGGUGGGAGACUAGGAAACCAGGGCGUCAGCCUUGGUGGAGUCAACCUUGGGAUACCACCCUGACAGUACUGAAAUUCUAACUGGCGGCCAUGAAUCUGGUCACAGGACAUUGUUAGGUGGGCAGUUUGACUGGGGCGGUCGCCUCCUAAAAAGUAACGGAGGCGCCCAAAGGUUCCCUCAGAACGGUCGGAAAUCGUUCGAAGAGUGCAAAGGCAGAAGGGAGCCUGACUGCGACACCCACAAGUGGAGCAGGGACGAAAGUCGGGCUUAGUGAUCCGGUGGUACCUCGUGGGAGGGCCAUCGCUCAACGGAUAAAAGCUACCUCGGGGAUAACAGGCUGAUCUCCCCCAAGAGUCCACAUCGACGGGGAGGUUUGGCACCUCGAUGUCGGCUCGUCGCAUCCUGGGGCUGAAGUAGGUCCCAAGGGUUGGGCUGUUCGCCCAUUAAAGCGGCACGCGAGCUGGGUUCAGAACGUCGUGAGACAGUUCGGUCCCUAUCCGUCGCGGGCGUAGGAAAUUUGAGAGGAGCUGUCCUUAGUACGAGAGGACCGGGAUGGACUGACCUCUGGUGUACCAGUUGUUCCGCCAGGAGCACAGCUGGGUAGCUAAGUCGGGAAUGGAUAAACGCUGAAAGCAUCUAAGCGUGAAGCCAACCUCAAGAUGAGAUUUCCCAUAGCGUAAGCUAGUAAGAUCCCUUGAAGAACACAAGGUUGAUAGGUCGGGGGUGUAAGCAUGGUAACAUGUUCAGCUGACCGAUACUAAUAGAUCGAGGGCUUGACCAA